GCUCCUCUCCACCUCUAGCCUGCUCAUUUCCAGCUCAGAAAUUCUACUAAUGGCGUUUUUUCUUCCUGAAAAAGGAAAUGAACAGGGUCCCUGCUGAUUCUCCAAAUAUGUGUCUAAUCUGUUUACUGAGUUCCAUAGCACUUGGAGCCAUCCAUGCAAAAAUCUGUAGAAGAGCAUUCCAGGAAGAGGGAAGAGCAAAUGCAAAGACGGGCGUGAGAGCUUGGUGCAUACAGCCAUGGGCCAAAUAAAGUUUCCUUGGAAUAGC
rnacentral:lncRNA from 1 species